CUCUGAUAAGAGGUUAUCAAGAUGAAAGGGGGAGGCCGGGAAUUACGGGCCUAACACUGUCACCCAGCAGACACAGAGGAACACUGUCACCCAGCAGACACAGAGGAAUAUACACUCUCUGUGCCAGAAAGAAAUCUCCUGGGGAAUCUACACAGUUAUAACGAGGUCCUGGAAGAGAAGAGCACAGCUUAGUAACAGAUAUGCAUGUCUUACAGAGGUCCUGGAAGAGAAGAGCACAGCUUAGUAACAGAUCAUAUUCAUAGAGAUUUGAUUUUUAUAUAUUUUAUUCAGCAAUAGGAAAAUAACAAAUAUAUGUUAAAAUGUUUCACUUCCAUCUAUUGCCCUUUCUUUGUAGUUCUCCCACUAGUAAAUGUUAUUCUAAAUAUAAAAAUCAGAAUGACAAAGAUUGCUUCUACUGUUGCAAGUGCUUGAAAUACAAUAAAAUACCUUUACUGUCUAAAUCUAUAUUUCCUAUUGGAAAAUGUAAGAUAUUUCCUAUUUGAUACUCUGACUGCUCAUUGUUUUGCAUUAUGAUAAUGAAAUCAAAUGUUGAACAUAUUUAUCAAAAGUAAGAUCAACUCUUGAGUGUAUUAAUAUAUUAUAUAAGAUAUGAAUUGAUCAUGGCAUGGUGGUUAUGGUGGUUAGGGUGACUAUCAUCACACCUUGGAACAGUGAGAGCUGAUAGAACCCUAGCAGGAUUCCUGAAAUCCUUGAGUAGGCCCAUAUCAACUCGGCAAAAAAAGAAACAUCCUCUCACUCUGCGUUUAUUUUCA